rnacentral:rRNA from 1 species
UGAGACGCUGGCAGCGUGCUUAACACAUGCAAGUCGAACGAUGAAGCAUUCUUCGGAAUGUGGAAGAGUGGCGAACGGGUGAGGAACACGUAAGAAUCUGCCCCUCGGUCGGGGACAACUCUUGGAAACGAGAGCUAAUACCCGAUACGCUGUGGAGUGAAAGAAUUUCGCCGAGGGAUGAUCUUGCGUCUGAUUAGCUAGUUGGUGUGGUAAUGGCACACCAAGGCGACGAUCAGUAGCUGGUCUGAGAGGAUGAACAGCCACAUUGGAACUGAGACACC